GACGAACGCUGGCGGCGUGCUUAACACAUGCCAGUCGAACGAAGAGCGACGGAAGCUUGCUUCUAUCAAUCUUAGUGGCGAACGGGUGAGUAACGCGUAAUCAACCUGCCCUUCAGAGGGGGACAACAGUUGGAAACGACUGCUAAUACCGCAUACGAUCUAACCUCGGCAUCGAGGAUAGAUGAAAGGUGGCCUCUACGUGUAAGCUAUCACUGAAGGAGGGGAUUGCGUCUGAUUAGCUAGUUGGAGGGGUAACGGACCACCAAGGCGAUGAUCAGUAGCCGGUCUGAGAGGAUGAACGGCCACAUUGGGACUGAGACACGGCCCAGACUGCUACGGGAGGCAGCAGUGGGGAUUCUUCCGCAAUGGACGAAAGUCUGACGGAGCAACGCCGCGUGAGUGAUGACGGCCUUCGGGUUGUAAAGCUCUGUUAAUCGGGACGAAAGGCCUUCUUGCGAAUAGUGAGAAGGAUUGACGGUACCGGAAUAGAAAGCCACGGCUAACUACGUG
rnacentral:rRNA from 1 species